rnacentral:rRNA from 1 species
GAUGAACGCUGGCGGUGUGCCUAAUACAUGCAAGUCGUACGCAUUCUCGUUUCUGAUUGACGGUGCUUGCACCUAAUUGACGAGACAUUGGAAUGAGUGGCGGACGGGUGAGUAACACGUGGGUAACCUGCCCAGAAGUGGGGGAUAACAUUUGGAAACAGAUGCUAUACCGCAUAAAAGUCAAAACUACAUAGUUUUGAUUUAAAAGAUGGCCUUUGUGCUAUCACUUCUGGCUGGACCGGCGGCGUAUUAGCUAGUUGGUAAGGUAACGGCUGACCAAGGCAAUGAUACGUAGCCGAACUGAGAGGUUGAUCGGCCACAAUGGGACUGAGACACGGCCCAUACUCCUACGGGAGGCAGCAGUAGGGAAUCUUCCACAAUGGGCGCAAGCCUGAUGGAGCAACACCGCGUGAGUGAAGAAGGGUUUCGGCUCGUAAAACUCUGUUGUUAAAGAAGAACGUAUCUAAGAGUAACUGCUUAGGUAGUGACGGUAUUUAACCAGAAAGCCACGGCUAACUACGUGCCAGCCGCCGCGGUAA